UACUUGGAUGGACCUGCGGUGCAUUAGCUAGUUGGUAGGGUAACGGCCUACCAAGGCGAUGAUGCAUAGCCCGAGUUGAGAGACUGAUCGGCCACAUUGGGACUGAGACACGGCCCAAACUCCUACGGGAGGCAGCAGUAGGGAAUCUUCCACAAUGGACGCAAGUCUGAUGGAGCAACGCCGCGUGAGUGAAGUAAGGGUUUCGGCUACGUAAAGCUCUGUUGUUGGUGAAGAAGGACAGGGGGUAGUAACUGACCUUUGUUUGACGGUAAUCAACUUAGAAAGUCACGGCUAACUACGUGCCAGCAGCCGCGGUAAAU
rnacentral:rRNA from 1 species